rnacentral:lncRNA from 1 species
AGAAGCUUCUUUUGUAUUUUCUUUUAAAACUAGUCAGCAUCUGCAUGAGUUUCCGCUAAUUCUGAUUUUUGGGAUCGCCACAUCUCCUGUUAUUAUCCACCGACUGCUUCCUCAUUCAGUGUCAUCGCUGUUGUGUGUAGAACUGUUCCAGUCUCUGUCUUGCGAGCAACACCUGACAGUAGUUCUUGAUAAGGUAAAAAGAAAAAGUGCUUACCAAUGACAGAGUAAAACCAAAGCUACCAGACAUAUAUUAUGUAUAAUAAAUGAUACCAAUACAUUUAUUUCUAUGUAUCUCAGACUUUGUUCAACUUAUGUACAUAUUUGAAUGCUCUUACUCAAUUAUGGUUAGAAUUAUGUUUUCUCUUUGCAUAUAGUUGCCUUCUCAGAUAAAAAAUAAGCUUUAUGAAAGCUACAAUCAUUUGUAUAUAUUCAUUGUUGUUUUUAUGACUUAGUUGAAGAAUUUAGGCUUUUAAAAAGAAUCAGGGGUCAAAAUACAGCUCACUAAUAGAGUACUUGUCUGCAGUGUAAAGGGAGGCCCUGGAAAGUAGGAAGUAAAUACUAAUGAGUAAUAAGCCACUGACAGUAAUAAAUAAAAUUUUAUAGAAUUUAUAUGCUUCAGAGUAUUAUCAGUGUGCUUUGAUCUUAUAUCCUUGUAUAAAAUGAUCUAAAGCUUUCAGGUUUAUUUUGAUUUGAUAGGUAUGCGUGUUAGUCCACAUAUAUAUAUGUGCACCACAUUCAUGCAGUACUGUGGAGGUCAGAAGAGGGUGUUGGAUCUCUACAACUGGAGUUACAGAUGGUUGUGAGCCAUCUUGUAGGUGCAGACAAUGACCCACAGUCCUCUGGAAAAGCAGCCAGGGCUAUUAACUUCUGACCCAUCUCUCUAGCCCCAAAAGUUUUUGUGGACUUUGACAACUGUCAUAUUGCUCUUGACAAUAGCCACUAAACUUAGACUAUAACUGCUAUAAUGUUUCUGUGUAAUAGCAGCAUGAUUACUACUGACUGCCACGCAAAUCCAUUCUCAGUUCCAUUAAGAAACGUUUGUGAUGGUUGUAUUGCGUAGUAAUGACAACCUGUAUGUUCACCUAUGAACUGCUACUACACUUUGCUACACACAGAUAGCAAUCUGAUUUAUUGACAUGUUAGGAAAAAGUCUGUCACUUUGAAAUUAAUUAUAGUCAAACGCAGUUGCCUUUGUGUGGCUAUACUUUUGGUUAAAAAAAAAUCUGCUAGUAUAAGGUUUGAUUUUCAGAUGUUAAGCAUCACUGUAGACCAUUGAACACUAACUAAAUACAAAAUUUCUCUGUAUUUCCAAAAAGAAAAAUCUUCAUUUUGUGUUUUUUUGUUUUUUGUUUUUUGUUUUUGUUUUUUGUUUUUUGUUUUUUGUUUUUUCGAGACAGGGUUUCUCUGUGCAGCCCUGGCUGUCCUGGAACUCAAUCUGUAGACCAGGCUGGCCUCGAACUCAGAAAUCAGCCUGCCUCCUCUACCUCCCAAGUGCUGGGAUUAAAGGCGUGCACCACCACGCCCGGCUCCAUUUUGUGUUAUUUUAUAGUACAUAGCUUGCUACUUUUUACUAAUUUGGAUUAGUAGGGAGAAAAAAAUUUUAUCUGGUAAGAAAAUGGUACAUUUUUUGGUAUCUUCUAGUGGAAGACAAAGGGUUAUAUAUUUAAUAUGCGUUAUUUGAAGAUUAGGAAUUUAAUGGAAGUUUGGUAGACAACUUUGAUUUAGAGGGUAGUUUGAGGAUGGGAGUGGUGGUUCUUGAGAGAGAAAGGCAGGCAGAUCUCUGAUAUAUAUUUUUUUUAAUUUCUACUUUUAUUUUUAUUUUUUGGCUAGAUAGCCAGUCAGAGAUAGCCAGUCAGGUUUAGCGGAUGAGACCCUCUCUCAAACAAACAGGCAUUGUAAUACAAAUUGCUUUUUGGUGUUUUCAACUUUAAAUAAAUACGGUUUAUGAUUUGGUUGGCAUUUGACUGUAGAAAAAAAUAUAGCUCUGAUUGCUUCAUAUUUAUUGUGUCACAGUAUAAUUUUUAGCCUAGCUAUUUAUUUCAUGUUCACGAGGAGGGCCGACCAAGAACUCUGACUUCCAUCUUGUCUCUUUCAGCUACUUCUUACACCUCAGUUUCCCUUUAAACUAAGUAAAAAGGCAUUACAGGUUCUGACCAACAUCUUUUUGUAUCAUGAUUUCUCAAUUCAAAGCUUCAUCAAAGGAAUUAAGGUAAGAAAAUCUGAAAUUGAUGAAUUUGAAAGUGUGCUGUCUAAUUCUAAUUAGUUAACAUUAUUUCAGAUUGAGUAGUGUGAUAACUAAGGCAUUUUAGUAGCAAGAUUUAGAAAAAGGAAAUUGCAUUUUUUUUCUAGGUUUUACCUUUCCUUUAUUAUGCUGAAGUCACCUAUAGAAGACAGAAUUAGGAUUGUCAGUAAUGGAUGCAUUCUAGCUAGUCUUAACCAUUGAGUGUGGCAGAGAGGGAAAGGACUUAUUUUUGUUUAGGACUUGAUGAAAUUGUGGUGUCUUUUUACCUAAGAAAUGCCAUUAACCUUUGAUGGGCCAGAGAGGUAACUCUUUAGCUUUGUGUCUUGGUGUCUUUUUGAGUUGGUUAAAUGAUAAUAUUAAUUACUUUUCUUGACAACUCCCUAAGUUGUCAAAGUAUAGUCAUUGUGAGUAUAUGGCAGUUGUCAGUGUCAUUAAGACUUAUGCGUUUUAACCUUUAUAUGUAAGUUACAUAUGUAUAUGUUAUAACGUUUAUGUGUAAGUGUCAUGGUUUGUAUAUUCUUGGACCAGGGCGUGGCACCAUUUGUAGGUGUGGCCUUGUUGGAAUAGGUGUGACUUGGUUGGAGUAGGUGUGACACUGUGGAUGUGGGCUUAAGACCCUCACCCUAGUUGCCUGGAAGUCAGUCUUCCACUAGCAGCCUUUGGAUGAAGAUGUAGAACUCUCAGCUCUGCCUGCAUCAUGCCUGCCUGGAUGCUGCCAUGCUCCCACCUUGAUGAUAAUGGACUGAACUUCUGAACCUGUAAGCCAGCCCCAAUUAAAUGUUGUCUUUUGUAAGACUUGCCUUGGUCAUGGUGUCUGUUCGAAGGAGUAAAACUGUAACUAAGACAGAAGUUGGUACCAGGAGUGGGGUAUUGCUGUGAGAGGCCUGACCAUGCUUUUAUUUGAAAGAAUGUGGAUUUUGGAACUUUGGAUUUGGAAUACAGUGGAAUGCUUUAAAUGGGGCUUAAUGGGUCAUCAUAGUAGGAAUAUGGAAGACUUUGUUGCUGGGAAUAAUUUGAACUAUGUUGACCUGGCCCAAGAGAUUUCAAAGGAGAAGAAUUUCAGAAUGUGGUAUAAAGACUAUUUUUAUGGUAUCUUGGUGAAGAAUGUGACAACUUUUUGCUCUUGUCUGAAAAGUCUGCCUGAGGCUAAGGUGAAGAGACUCAGAUUAAUUGCAUUGACAAAGGAAGUUUCAAAAAAGCCCAGCAAAGACUUUGUUCUCUGGUUAAGUCUUAUGAAGAGAAGUUUGAACAAGCAUAGCAAGCUUAGAAAGG